UUAAAGCCAAGAGUACACACCAAAAUUAAAAUUCAACCUAUUCUAACAAUUUAAAAUGCAAGAGUAUAAGAAGGAAUUCUAGGUUGCCUCCUAGUAGCGCUUGUUUAACGUCACGAGCCUGACCCAAACAUGUUUAGCACUUAUCAGUAAGUGCAAAUCCUUCCAACACCCAUCAGUAGGUGUACCUUCCUGUGUUCUCCAG
rnacentral:lncRNA from 1 species